AAAUUGAAGAGUUUGAUCAUGGCUCAGAUUGAACGCUGGCGGCAGGCCUAACACAUGCAAGUCGAACGGUAACAGGAAGCAGCUUGCUGCUUUGCUGACGAGUGGCGGACGGGUGAGUAAUGUCUGGGAAACUGCCUGAUGGAGGGGGAUAACUACUGGAAACGGUGGCUAAUACCGCAUAACGUCGCAAGACCAAAGAGGGGGACCUUCGGGCCUCUUGCCAUCAGAUGUGCCCAGAUGGGAUUAGCUUGUUGGUGAGGUAACGGCUCACCAAGGCGACGAUCCCUAGCUGGUCUGAGAGGAUGACCAGCCACACUGGAACUGAGACACGGUCCAGACUCCUACGGGAGGCAGCAGUGGGGAAUAUUGCACAAUGGGCGCAAGCCUGAUGCAGCCAUGCCGCGUGUAUGAAGAAGGCCUUCGGGUUGUAAAGUACUUUCAGCGGGGAGGAAGGUGUUGUGGUUAAUAACCGCAGCAAUUGACGUUACCCGCAGAAGAAGCACCGGCUAACUCCGUGCCAGCAGCCGCGGUAAUACGGAGGGUGCAAGCGUUAAUCGGAAUUACUGGGCGUAAAGCGCACGCAGGCGGUCUGUCAAGUCGGAUGUGAAAUCCCCGGGCUCAACCUGGGAACUGCAUUCGAAACUGGCAGGCUUGAGUCUUGUAGAGGGGGGUAGAAUUCCAGGUGUAGCGGUGAAAUGCGUAGAGAUCUGGAGGAAUACCGGUGGCGAAGGCGGCCCCCUGGACAAAGACUGACGCUCAGGUGCGAAAGCGUGGGGAGCAAACAGGAUUAGAUACCCUGGUAGUCCACGCCGUAAACGAUGUCUACUUGGAGGUUGUGCCCUUGAGGCGUGGCUUCCGGAGCUAACGCGUUAAGUAGACCGCCUGGGGAGUACGGCCGCAAGGUUAAAACUCAAAUGAAUUGACGGGGGCCCGCACAAGCGGUGGAGCAUGUGGUUUAAUUCGAUGCAACGCGAAGAACCUUACCUGGUCUUGACAUCCACGGAAGAAUUCAGAGAUGGAUUUGUGCCUUCGGGAACCGUGAGACAGGUGCUGCAUGGCUGUCGUCAGCUCGUGUUGUGAAAUGUUGGGUUAAGUCCCGCAACGAGCGCAACCCUUAUCCUUUGUUGCCAGCGGUCCGGCCGGGAACUCAAAGGAGACUGCCAGUGAUAAACUGGAGGAAGGUGGGGAUGACGUCAAGUCAUCAUGGCCCUUACGACCAGGGCUACACACGUGCUACAAUGGCGCAUACAAAGAGAAGCGACCUCGCGAGAGCAAGCGGACCUCAUAAAGUGCGUCGUAGUCCGGAUUGGAGUCUGCAACUCGACUCCAUGAAGUCGGAAUCGCUAGUAAUCGUGGAUCAGAAUGCCACGGUGAAUACGUUCCCGGGCCUUGUACACACCGCCCGUCACACCAUGGGAGUGGGUUGCAAAAGAAGUAGGUAGCUUAACCUUCGGGAGGGCGCUUACCACUUUGUGAUUCAUGACUGGGGUGAAGUCGUAACAAGGUAACCGUAGGGGAACCUGCGGUUGGAUCACCUCCUUACCUU
rnacentral:rRNA from 1 species